rnacentral:tRNA from 1 species
GCCCUGGUGGCUCAGUCAGUAAAGAAUCUGCCUGCAAUGCAGGAGACCCUGGUUCGAUUCCUGGGUCGGGAUG